rnacentral:rRNA from 1 species
AGGAUGAACGCUGGCGGCGUGCUUAACACAUGCAAGUCGAACGGUCAAGUGAGGAGCUUGCUCCUUGCGGAUCAGUGGCGAACGGGUGAGUAACACGUGAGUAACCUGCCCUUGACUCUGGGAUAAGCACUGGAAACGGUGUCUAAUACCGGAUACGACCUCCGAAGGCAUCUUCUGGAAGUGGAAAGAAUUUCGGUCAAGGAUGGACUCGCGGCCUAUCAGCUAGUUGGUGAGGUAACGGCCCACCAAGGCGACGACGGGUAGCCGGCCUGAGAGGGUGACCGGCCACACUGGGACUGAGACACGGCCCAGACUCCUACGGGAGGCAGCAGUGGGGAAUAUUGCACAAUGGGCGCAAGCCUGAUGCAGCAACGCCGCGUGAGGGACGACGGCCUUCGGGUUGUAAACCUCUUUAGUAGGGUAAGAAGCGAAAGUGACGGUACCUGCAGAAAAGCACCGGCUAACUACGUGCCAGCAGCCGCGGU